GGUCCUCCUAUUAAAAUGAGAUAGUAAUGCUAUGAAAGUGUUAAGUAGUUUUUUUCUUGUUCAAUUUCUGUUGUGCUGAGUAUGCAGAAAAGAGAAUGUGUUCUUCUAAGGAUUCUGGGAAGUGUUUUUAAGUGUUUUUCUAACAUAUCUAGAGAAGUCUGAAAACAUUUUAUUUACCAAGGACUAAGACUGCUUCUGAGCCUACAAGUGACAGUCACUCAUUCUGAACACGAGCCAUGAGCUCUUGGUCAUGCUUCCAGAUCCAAGGGGCACUCCAGCAGUUACCAGUCCAGCAUACCAAACUGCCCUGAAGUAGGUCCUUUGUCCCUUCCCACUCAGCUUCAGUUGCUUGCAUCUUUUGGAAGAUGCUGCCUGGGGCCCAGCAGAGCUGGAGGUGAUGGAAGCUUAAAGCAGAGGGCCAUAGGGUUUGUGCCAUCUUUCACCAGGUUCUAUAUGACAGACAUUUCAGUUCUUUCACCCUGUACUGAAUUAAGGUGCGGCUAAGGACUUUGGUCAUGAGAUGUGGCAUUGUUCCAACCUGAAAGACGGGGGGAAGGAAGGAGGGAGAAAGGUUACUCCCAGCUGUCCACUGCUGCACUCUUUGCUCCUUUGUUUCUGGUGAUCACUGCUGCAGUAAAAAUUGUUAGUAGCUGCAUGAGGAAAGCUAGCCGAGCUGGGGCAUCUCUGCUCUUUAACUAAGAAUUUCAUCCAGCGUCAGUAAUUUUCCCUUUGAGCCCUCUUGCUAAAUGUCCUUGGUGGCGGAUGAAUCCUGAGCAUUUAAGGAUGGGAACCGAGCUGUUGAAAGGAACAAGUUUUCUGAUACCCAACCUCUUGGACAUACCAAACCAAACUUGCAAAAAUGUACUGAUGAAGAACUAAAUAGUAUUGGCUGGAGAUAAAGAAAUCCCAGACUUUCCUUAUCACUAUUUUUGUAAGCAAUACUGAUGGAAAUACAGGAAGAACUGUGAUGAUCACAGAAUUGAAGUGCUGACAAUAGGUUUGUCUGUGCUAAGUGUGCUGAAUCCUGCUGGUUUGUGAAGAUCUUCAGGCCAAGUGGAGCAGUGUGACACACUCUGAAGGUACCUGAAGGGACAUAAGUUAUAUUUGUAAGGUGGGAGGCUGGAGAAAAAUGUAAGGAAAUACAGCUGAUAAUAUUGGACAAUUCUUGGUUGCUCUGCUCCUAAGCAAAGUGCAAGAUCUGCCAGAGAUGUUUCUCCUGCUCUGUAUAGGACGCUGGCUGAUCUGCCCUGUUGUGGAUCUUGUUGCUGAAGCUCACCUGCUUCGUUCUCUGACUUCAUCUUUUAAUCUAAAGAACAGCAAGAUUAUCAGAAAAGAUGGAAAUAGGUGCUUAUCAUUGUACCAAAAAAAAGCAGAGAACUGGCAGCUACUGGAACAUGACGGGCAACUGAGUCUGCUUUAGUACACAUGGAGGGACUGCAUCCCAGCCAGAGGAAACUGGCAAUCAGAAUUCAGCAACAUAAGGCUGCUUGCCCAAGAGCUGCUCUUGGGUUGGAAGCAUCUAGAUGAAAAUGCUUAAUUAUAAUCUAUUAAAACAUUCAGUUAAAGCUGCCAUAUAGCCAGUAUUUCCCAACUUUGGUAGACAAAAAAUGUAUUUGCAACAUCUAGCUCCUGUUGUAAAUGUAGAGCUCAUUAAUGUUUUCUAGGUUGAACUUCAGUAAUGACUUCAAGAUAAUAACCUGUCUGCUUGUUUUAAUUUUUAUUCAGUUUUAUGUUUAUAGUAAGCCCUGACAUGCUCUAAUUGUAUUUCACAAUGGUUUUAAACUUCUAAUAAGCAUGUAGGGCUUCUGUACUAUCAUUUGAAAUACACUGGUAUUCCUGAGAUUCUGUGACUCACUUUAGUAAUACUACUAGGCCUGUAGCAAAGCUUACUUAGUCAAAAUAUAUAUGUUUAAAGUUAAAUGAGUUCUCAGUAUCAUGCUGCCAUGGGAUCUUGGGCAAAGAACUAUGCUGAUGUAGUAGGACAGAGCUAUAGAAUGACUAAAAUAGUCGAAUGGAUGUCAACUAGGCUAGAGGUAUGAAAGGUCACAAAGAAAUGAAUGCUUCUGUAAUCUCAUUGGCCAUGAUAGAAUGAAAAAGAUAUUUUGAGUUGUUUCUCGUAUAGCUAUUCGUACAAAACAAAACAAACAAAAAACAACCCAACCCACAAAUAAAUUGGAUGCUUUUCUGCUU
rnacentral:lncRNA from 7 species